rnacentral:rRNA from 1 species
AGUUUGAUCCUGGCUCAGAUUGAACGCUGGCGGGAUGCUUACACAUGCAAGUCGAACGGCAGCACGGACUUCGGUCUGGUGGCGAGUGGCGAACGGGUGAGUAAUGUAUCGGAACGUGCCUAGUAGCGGGGGAUAACUACGCGAAAGCGUAGCUAAUACCGCAUACGCCCUUCGGGGGAAAGCGGGGGACUCGGGCUUCGCACUAUUAGGAGCGGCCGAUAUCGGAUUAGCUAGUUGGUGGGUAACGGUCACCAAGGCGACGAUCCAGCUGGUUUGAGAGGACGACCAGCCACACUGGGACUGAGACACGGCCCAGACUCCUACGGGAGGCAGCAGGGGGAAUUUUGGACAAUGGGGGAAACCCCUGAUCCAGCCAUCCGCGUGUGCGAUGAAGGCCUUCGGGUUGUAAAGCACUUUUGGCAGGAAAGAAACGGCACGGGAUAAUACCCCGUGCAACUGACGGUACCUGCAGAAUAAGCACCGGCUAACUACGUGCCAGCAGCCGCGGUAAUACGUAGGGUGCAAGCGUUAAUCGGAAUUACUGGGCGUAAAAGCGUGCGCAGGCGGUUCGGAAAGAAAGAUGUGAAAUCCCAGAGUUUAACUUCUCUUUGGAAACUGCAUUUUUAACUACCGAGCUAGAGUGUGUCAGAGAGGUGGAAUUCCGCGUGUGGCAGGAAUGCGUAGAUAUGCGGAGGAACACCGAUGGCGAAGGCAGCCUCCUGAUAACACUGACGCUCAUGCACGAAAGCGUGGGGAGCAACAGGAUUAGAUACCCCGGUAGUCCACGCCCUAAACGAUGUCAACUAGCUGUUGGGGCCUUCGGGCCUUGGUAGCGCAGCUAACGUGCGUGAAGUUGACCGCCUGGGGAGUACGGUCGCAAGAUUAAAACCAAAGGAAUUGACGGGGACCCGCACAAGCGGUGGAUGAUGUGGAUUAAUUCGAUGCAACGCGAAAAACCCACUUACCCUUGACAUGUCUGGAAUCCCGAAGAGAUUUGGGAGUGCUCGCAAGAGAACCGGAACACAGGUGCUGCAUGAAGGCCGUCAGCUCGUGUCGUGAGAUAUUGGGUUAAGUCCUGCAACGAGCGCAACCCUUGUCAUUAGUUGCUACGAAAGGGCACUCUAAUGAGACUGCCAGUGACAAACCGGAGGAAGGUGGGGAUGACGUCAAGUCCUCAUGGCCCUUAUGGGUAGGGCUUCACACGUCAGCAUAAUGGUCGGGACAGAGGGUCGCCAACCCGCGAGGGGGAGCCAAUCCCAGAAACCCGAUCGUAGUCCGGACUGCAGUCUGCAACUCGACUGCGGAAGUCGGAAUCGCUAGUAAUCGCGGAUCAGCAUGUCGCGGUGAAUACGUUCCCGGGUCUUGUACACACCGCCCGUCACACCAUGGGAGUGGGUUUUACCAGAAGUAGUUAGCCUAACCGUAAGGAGGGCGAUUACCACGGUAGGAUUCAUGACUGGGGUGAAGUCGUAACAAGGUAG